rnacentral:lncRNA from 1 species
GCAUUACGCUCUUUCCACAGCAGGUAGAUGGCUGACUGAAAAUAGAGCUUGAUGACUGGAGUAGCAUGCGUAUCUGCGUUGACGCGAGGUUGAUUGAUCCAGGCUGCAACAGAGUGUAGAUCAGCCCGAGGAGAAAUCCAAACUUCAGCAGCAAAUCCAAACUUGUGCCAAUAUUUGUUGUUGAUAGUGUUUAUAUUCUUUUCUAACAUUAGUAUCUAUAUUUUUUAGUAAACUGAUCCAAAGAAAUUAAUUUGUGGAGCUAACCAAACGAGGAUUAUAGUAUUUACUUUGGAAAAACUAAUAGGUUGAAUGAUAGAUGGCGUGCGUGCUUUUUCAUAUGAAAAUCUGCACAUAUAUUAAAAUCAUAAGAUUUGAAUCAUAGAGAAAAUAUAGUGUAUAUGACUAAAGUUGGUCCAUUCUGAAACUAAAGAUGGCUAAAAUUCUUCUUUGUCAAAAUGCAUAGAUGUGAAUCUUAUAUGAAUAGAGUUCUCCAUUGCUUAUAACAGUGUAAUAAACUCCGUGUGUAAAGGAGAAAAAAUGUUAUAUAAGUGAAAACAAAAAUUAUGAUUUUUUUUCUUGUGCCUAUAGGCUCUUCGCAAUUUGAAGAAGAAAGAACAUAUUGUGUGAAAAUCUU